UAAACUUGGAGAAAAGUAAAAGCCCUGUGUACCCGAGCCAUUAAAUGUAGGUGUUGUUGCUGGAGUUAGCUCUACAUUGUUUGCAUCUACCUUCUUGAAUACUGAAAACCCGUCUACGGUCGAGGUAAAAGGUCAAGCUUUUUCACUUAUAAAUGAUUGUCGGGCUAAAGUUUGUGACAUGCUGAAUGAGCUGGUUAGUUACUAUGGUUGAGAAGGACACAAGUCUUACAUAUUCUUACUUUUUGGUACUAAUGGCUUUGCUGUAAGCUUCUGUCGCUUGCAAAAAGAUAUUAGUAAUCAAUGGGUGUUUGCGGGUUAUCUUGAAGAUGCAAUCAUCAUAGAAGUUUAAUCCAUCUUCAUCUAUCUUUCAUUACGUGUCUUAAAACUUUUAGAAAAUCCCGACGAUAUCGAAGCUGCUCGAGAAUUAUCGAAGGUAGGGAGGGUUGGUUUAUCAUUGACGGAAGAGCAGUAAAUAAGGCUUUCUGUUGCUAUGGUAGUGCUUUUAAACCCAUCUAUUCUUCUUCUUGAUUAAGUCACCAGUGGACUAGACUUUGAAGCUGAAAGAUCUGUAUGGGAGGCUUUGGAUUUCUUGACGAUUAUGUAACAUUAUAACUCUCUCUCUCUCUCUGUCUCUCUCUCUCUCUCUCACUAUAGCUAGGUAGCAUUACAUACAAGAAUUUAUUUUUACUUGCAGCUAUGUACUUAAAAUUGGUUUUGUAUUAUACUUGCCUCUAUAUGUUAUAAUCCACAAACCUGUAGGGAAUUGUCGAUUAUGACAGUUUUGGCAAGAUCUACACUUGAAACCGUCGUUUGCAAAGAUCAUGACUUUUUGUAAGCUUGAUUAGAGAUGAAUUUUUCAUCUGUGUCGAAUAUAUCUAUAAGUUGCUUUGUGUAAAUGCUUUGACUGAUAGUGAUUACAGUGGAUGAUAUCAAACAGUUUCGGGACCUUUUACAAAACUAUCUUGAGGCUGAAAAUUGGAUCAAUUUAUGGCAAUGGGCCGAACGUGGUUGGGACUUGACAAUCGUAAUCUCAAUAAAUGUAUUGACGAUGAGGAUUGUGGAGACACGUGCAAAGCAGCUCUAAAAUCACUCAAGUUGUAACGGGUAUUUGACUGUAUCUAGAAUUCUAACAAGUAUUUGACCGCAUCUAGAAGUUGUUGCCCCGUUUCACUUUUAGUGGCUCCAUGUCUUGGUUAUGAUAUGCAACCAACAUUCAAAAUAAACGCGUUGAUCUCUUUGGUGGACCCACUAAAGGAUUUGAGGAAGAUAAUGGCUUACAAGCCUCAUCCAUGACAAAUCAGCAACUAAUGGAUAAUGGUCAUCAAAUGAUGGAUGGAUGAAAGUAACCAAGCUAUUGAACGGUCCAAAAAGACUUUUAAUAGACUUUUGUUGGUGAGGGCACAAGUGAACUCUUAUUGUAUAAUAAUUAUUCUUGCAAUAAGUUAACAAGAACAAGUGAUGACAGUGCACAGUCCAUCAAUGCAGAGAUGGUGAACAACUUUGGUGAUACAUUUGGUAUGAUUUUUGCACCAAGAUUAAAUGAAGCAUAAGUUUUAGUAUU
rnacentral:lncRNA from 1 species